rnacentral:tRNA from 3 species
GGGUGAUUAGCUCAGACAGCGGAGCGUCUGUGUAACAGUUGGUAGAGCGCUUCGUUUACACCGAAGAUGUCGGGAGUUCGAGUCUCUCAUCACCCACCA